GCAAGCAAAUUUCCUCAUAACGUCCCGUCCCGUGCUGGAACAAACUGAGGCUCCUAACCAUUGUCCAGCCUCUGAGCCUGUGGGCUGCUGACCCUGAAGUGGGUCACACAGUG